rnacentral:tRNA from 1 species
GGAGGGUUAGCCUAAUUGGUAAGGCGGCGGAUUUGAAAUCCGCUUCCGCUGGAAAGCGGAUUGGGGGUUCGAGUCCCUCACCCUCCG